GAUGAACGCUGGCGGCGUGCUUAACACAUGCAAGUCGAACGAUGAAGCCCAGCUUGCUGGGUGGCUUAGUGGCGAACGGGUGAGUAACACGUGAGUAACCUGCCCUUAACUCUGGGAUAAGCCUGGGAAACUGGGUCUAAUACCGGAUAGGAGCGUCCACCGCAUGGUGGGUGUUGGAAAGAUUUAUCGGUUUUGGAUGGACUCGCGGCCUAUCAGCUUGUUGGUGAGGUAAUGGCUCACCAAGGCGACGACGGGUAGCCGGCCUGAGAGGGUGACCGGCCACACGGGGACGGAGACACGGCCCAGACUCCUACGGGAGGCAGCAGGGGGAAAUAUUGCACAAGGGGCGCAAGCCUGAUGCAGGGACGCCGGGUGGGGGAUGACGGCCUUCGGGUGGAAAACCUCUUUCGGUAGGGAAGAAGCGAAAGGGACGUAACCGGAAGAAGAAGCACCGGCGAACUACGU
rnacentral:rRNA from 1 species